rnacentral:rRNA from 1 species
AUACCGCAUACGUCCUACGGGAGAAAGGGGGCUCCGGCUCCCGCUAUUGGAUGAGCCUAUGUCGGAUUAGCUAGUUGGUGAGGUAAAGGCUCACCAAGGCAACGAUCCGUAGCUGGUCUGAGAGGAUGAUCAGCCACAUCGGGACUGAGACACGGCCCGAACUCCUACGGGAGGCAGCAGUGGGGAAUAUUGGACAAUGGGCGCAAGCCUGAUCCAGCCAUGCCGCGUAUGUGAAGAAGGCCUUCGGGUUGUAAAGCACUUUCAGCGAGGAAGAACGCCUAGUGGUUAAUACCCAUUAGGAAAGACAUCACUCGCAGAAGAAGCACCGGCUAACUCCGUGCCAGCAGCCGCGGUAAUACGGAGGGUGCGAGCGUUAAUCGGAAUUACUGGGCGUAAAGCGCGCGUAGGUGGCUUGAUAAGCCGGUUGUGAAAGCCCCGGGCUCAACCUGGGAACGGCAUCCGGAACUGUCAAGCUAGAGUGCAGGAGAGGAAGGUAGAAUUCCCGGUGUAGCGGUGAAAUGCGUAGAGAUCGGGAGGAAUACCAGUGGCGAAGGCGGCCUUCUGGACUGACACUGACACUGAGGUGCGAAAGCGUGGGUAGCAAACAGGAUUAGAUACCCUGGUAGUCCACGCCGUAAACGAUGUCGACCAGCCGUUGGGUGCCUAGCGCACUUUGUGGCGAAGUUAACGCGAUAAGUCGACCGCCUGGGGAGUACGGCCGCAAGGUUAAAACUCAAAUGAAUUGACGGGGGCCCGCACAAGCGGUGGAGCAUGUGGUUUAAUUCGAUGCAACGCGAAGAACCUUACCUACUCUUGACAUCCUGCGAACUUGUGAGAGAUCACUUGGUGCCUUCGGGAACGCAGAGACAGGUGCUGCAUGGCUGUCGUCAGCUCGUGUUGUGAAAUGUUGGGUUAAGUCCCGUAACGAGCGCAACCCUUGUCCUUAUUUGCCAGCACGUAAUGGUGGGAACUCUAAGGAGACUGCCGGUGACAAACCGGAGGAAGGUGGGGACGACGUCAAGUCAUCAUGGCCCUUACGAGUAGGGCUACACACGUGCUACAAUGGCCGGUACAAAGGGUUGCCAACUCGCGAGAGUGAGCUAAUCCCGAAAAGCCGGUCUCAGUCCGGAUCGGAGUCUGCAACUCGACUCCGUGAAGUCGGAAUCGCUAGUAAUCGUAGAUCAGAAUGCUACGGUGAAUACGUUCCCGGGCCUUGUACACAC